UGCAUUGUCAUCCAUACCAGCCCCUGAGAGCUAAAGUAUGCUUGUGUUAAUUUAUCCCCGUGUUUGUUUCUAAAGCACCUGGCAUUUGACAGAGAUGUUUUCCAUCUAUGCUUUAAGAGAAAUGCUGUGGUCAACUGCUCUGAACCAGCUGGCUCUGAUUUGAUCACAGAACCAUACCUGAGCAGAUGAGACCUGGAGGUAUCCGAAAGUUACCUUUGCUUCAUUACCAUGCUAAGAUCUCUGCCCAAGGAGGGAUUUGUUCUCUGCUAGGCACAAUUUGUACCAUGUGCAAAGAAUUGUGGAAGACUGUGUGAGCCCCAGCUGCCCCUGGCUGCUCAAGGAAAUCUAUCUCCACCACUUUCCUAGAGCCCUGAUGACAAGUCUCCCUCCUACCCCUUAAAAUUUCCUGGGGAAGAAGGUGUUUUUAGAGCAUGAACUCUCUCUUCUCCAUUCCUUGGUCAAUGAAUAAAAUUUCUGCUCUGCUAUACCAAACUCCGUUUCCUUUGAUUGGCAUUUACAAUUCCAGGCAAAGGACCCAAAUUAAAGGAUCAUUGAUCCAUCAGGGAUUGGUAAAGGAUGUUAUAUAUAAAAGCUGAUAAGAGAGUAAAUCUUGAGAAUUCUCAUCACAAGGUAAAAAUAUAUCUAUACAUCUAUAAAUAUAUCUAUUUCUUUAAUUUUGUUUCUAUAUGAGAUGAUGGAUGCCCACUGAACUUACUGUGGUAAUCAUUUCCUGAUAUUCGUUUUCAUUUCAAAUCAUUAUCCUGCACAGCUGAAACUUACAGAGCACCCUGUAUCAAUUAUAUAUCAAUAAAACAUAGAAAAAAAAAGUUUAAAUAAAGACCAGAUGAGUUAAAAAAAAAAAUUGAUUGUAGGAAGGAAAGAGAAAUGAAUAGCAAGAGUCCACUGUAUCAUUGUGUUGAUGUUCUCCUAAUCCCAGGAGGGUGCUUAGGCCAUUCUGAAACCAACCAAGAAGGAAGCUUGGAAGACAGGACACUUGACUCAGACCUGAGGGUCUCAAUGUUGUGGUCCCUUGGAGCAGCGUAUUUUCUCACGUCAGCUUCUCUCAUCUUCCUCAGCCCUGACCCCCAAACCCUCUAACCAAUUCACCACUCCAGCUGAACGUCAGCUGAAUGUUUCUUGGUAAAGUUCCUACCUCAGUUCCUACUUCAGUGAGAUAAAGUUGUAUAAUCCUUCCAUUUCCUUGCUUUUCUCACCUGCCAAAGCAACAGCUUUC